rnacentral:rRNA from 1 species
CAGUAGCCGCGGGAAUACGGAGGGAGCUAGCGUUGUUCGGAAUUACUGGGCGUAAAGCGCACGUAGGCGGUUAUUCAAGUCAGAGGUGAAAGCCCGGGGCUCAACCCCGGAACUGCCUUCGAAACUAGAUGACUGGAAUCUUGGAGAGGUCAGUGGAAUUCCGAGUGUAGAGGUGAAAUUCGUAGAUAUUCGGAAGAACACCAGUGGCGAAGGCGACUGACCGGACAAGUAUUGACGCUGAGGUGCGAAAGCGUGGGGAGCAAACAGGAUUAGAGACCCCGGUAGUCCCUGUCUCUUAUAC